rnacentral:rRNA from 1 species
GACAGAGGGGGCGAGCGUUGCUCGGAAUUACUGGGCGUAAAGGGCGCGUAGGCGGGAUGGCAAGUCGGUCGUGAAAUCCUUCGGCUCAACCGAAGAACGUCGAUCGAUACUGCUGUUCUUGAGGGUUGCAGAGGAGACUGGAAUUCCCGGUGUAGCGGUGAAAUGUGUAGAUAUCGGGAAGAACACCCGUGGCGAAGGCGGUUCUCUGGGACGGUACUGACGCUGAGACGCGAAAGCGUGGGGAGCGAACAGG